AGAGUUUGAUCAUGGCUCAGGACGAACGCUGGCGGCGUGCUUAACACAUGCAAGUCAAGGGGAAAGUUUCGGCUUGCCGGAAUGAUUAUACUGGCGAACGGGUGAGUAACGCGUAGGCAACCUGCCUUUGUGAACGGGAUAACUUCGGGAAACCGGAGCUAAUACCGUAUGAUGUUCUUUUAUCGCCUGGUGGAAGAAUCAAAGAUGCUUUUGUAUCGCACAGAGAUGGGCCUGCGUUCCAUUAGCUAGUUGGUAGGGUAACGGCCUACCAAGGCGGCGAUGGAUAGCUGAUCUGAGAGGGUGAUCAGCCACACUGGGACUGAGAUACGGCCCAGACUCCUACGGGAGGCAGCAGUGAGGAAUAUUGCGCAAUGGAGGAAACUCUGACGCAGCAACGCCGCGUGGGGGAUGAAGCACUAUGGUGUGUAAACCCCUGUAGACAGGGACGAAUGAUAUAUGUUCGUAAGGGCAUGUAUGUGACGGUACCUGUAAAGUAAGCACCGGCUAACUCCGUGCCAGCAGCCGCGGUAAUACGGGGGGUGCAAGCGUUGUCCGGAAUUACUGGGCGUAAAGGGCGUGUAGGCGGCUUAUUAAGUCAGAUGUGAAAGCCCACGGCUUAACCGUGGAACUGCAUUUGAAACUGGUAGGCUUGAGUGUGAGAAGGGGUAGCGGAAUUCCCAGUGUAGCGGUGAAAUGCGUAGAUAUUGGGAAGAACACCAGUAGCGAAGGCGGCUACCUGGCUCAUUACUGACGCUAAUGCGCGAAAGCGCGGGGAGCAAACAGGAUUAGAUACCCUAGUAGUCC
rnacentral:rRNA from 1 species